rnacentral:rRNA from 1 species
CCUACGGGAGGCAGCAGUGGGGAAUAUUGCACAAUGGGCGCAAGCCUGAUGCAGCGACGCCGCGUGAGGGAUGACGGCCUUCGGGUUGUAAACCUCUUUCAGUAGGGAAGAAGCGAAAGUGACGGUACCUGCAGAAGAAGCGCCGGCUAACUACGUGCCAGCAGCCGCGGUAAUACGUAGGGCGCAAGCGUUAUCCGGAAUUAUUGGGCGUAAAGAGCUCGUAGGCGGUUUGUCGCGUCUGCCGUGAAAGUCCGGGGCUCAACUCCGGAUCUGCGGUGGGUACGGGCAGACUAGAGUGAUGUAGGGGAGACUGGAAUUCCUGGUGUAGCGGUGAAAUGCGCAGAUAUCAGGAGGAACACCGAUGGCGAAGGCAGGUCUCUGGGCAUUAACUGACGCUGAGGAGCGAAAGCAUGGGGAGCGAACAGGAUUAGAUACCCUGGUAGUCCAUGCGUAACGUAGGUCGACUAGGUGGUGGGACGAUCUACGUUUCCGUCGCCGUCGCUACGCAUAGUCGCCCGCCGUCGGGAGGUACGGCCGGCCGACGGACGUAAACCGUUAAACGGUAAAGUUAGUUACGGUCGUUGAGACGUUGCCGACGGCGACGACGAGGGAGGAGG